CUCACUUAUCAAAACUAUCAAAAUUAGUCAUUCAAAAAAAAAAAAAAAAAGUCAUCGAAAUUAGCCUCAGUUAAGAGUCCCCUAUCUCUGCUCUCUACAAAUCUAGUGUCUCCUCCCCAAUCUACAUGGACCUCCGCCUCAUCAUUUCCUACCCUUCCCUCCUCCGCCAAAUCUCCCAACCCUAAUCGCCGUCGUCCCCUCCUCCACCCACGACGACCUCAUCUGCGGUGUCCCCUAGACCGCCCUCCCCAUCGCCACCUGCAUCAGGACCUCCCAUGACGUCCCAAUGCUCAUGCGCCGCCAAGGAGGUCAAGGACUACGGUACUGCCAAGGCCAUCGAAGGCGAAUUCAAGCCCGUCCAGGUCUGCCUCAUCAUCGAGGACCUCGUCACCAGUGGCGCCUUCGUUCUCGAGACUGCCGCGCCGCUCAGAGUGCCGGGUUGAAGCUGGAAGAGAGGAGCAAACAUGAGCACUGACAGGGGCAGAGCCUUUGAUGCAUAACGUUCCUGAUGUACAAGUGUUUACACUCCUCUAGAGACUAAUGUAGUUGUUCAGCUUUCCCAGUGUCGUUAACAUUUGGAGCAAAUUGCUGGAAAGUAAUCCAACUAUGUUUCAAAAUAGUAAAACUGCUGAAUCAGCUUUUGGUGCAGCAAUCAAGACAAAGGGACAUAUGCUUGAUGGUUUUAGAUAGGAGACAAAGAACAAAUUUGCUUUUAUUCUGCUGAUCAGGUUGUGAGAGAUAUCCAAGGAAAGUCUUUUAUUCUCUAUGGCACUACUUCAAAAGUCUCGUUUGUAGCUGCUGAUGUUGAUGGCAAUGUUCCUUUCUUCUGGGGAAUUGAUUUUGAAGGCAAUCUUGUUAUUGCUGAUGAUGCAGAAGUUGUGAAGGACCGUGGGAAGUUGUUUGCACCAUUUCCUAAAGGGAGCUUAUCAACAGAACGGAAACUUAGAGAAAAUGAUAGAGUGGUGGCUGAAGGAAAGAUAUCAUCAACAAACCGAAGUACAAAAGUUCAUUGUGUGCCUCUUGGACAAGAGUGUUGGAAGGUUUGGGUUGAUGUGGCGCUUGAUGAUCUAGCCUGCUUCUUUUGGUUUACUAUAAAACUGGAAGUAUGUACCAGAACUGGAAGUAUGUAUAAAUGAGCCCUCGGAUCUUUAUUUGUCCAAGAAUUAUGUAUCAGAACUUCAAUGAAGUGUAUAUUUUUCUUUUACAUGGUUAUAGUGGUACACUAAUAUUGUCAUGUGAA